UUAAAGGGUCGGGAUACAUUUGCUCCUUCUCACUUCCUGUCAAGCAACAAACCAUUUGACUUCAUUUGAUAAUCAUAACAUUUAAUUAAUAUCAUGUGUCCAUUACUGCAAACAUGUCUGAUUAUUACACAGUAAAGACGAUGACGUAAUCUUCUCUCAUUUUCUAUGUUUCUUUAUUUUCUAUUCCAUGUAUAAUUUGGUUUAAAAUGUUUGUUUUGUCGUUUUUAUUGUAUUUUUUAUGCUCGAGAUAAACCAAUCAAAUCAAAGUGGAGUUGGAGGAACUGCGCAUGCGCUAGUUUGUUAAUGAUUGAAUUACUAGAAAUGAUCACCUGUCAUUUCUAUCGCUUCCGUUCUCGUUAUUCCGCGCACAGACCGGCUGACAGGUGAGGGCAGGUGUGUCUUCAGGUGCAGGCCCCGCCUUCCUUCCUCCUCCUCAUUCUCUUUAGUGUUUUUGAACCUUGAACUUGCUGAACCAAACAGACAGGAGCUGCUCACCUGAACUGGUCUCCGCGCGCCCCUUCCCCGCGCCUCUCACCUGUCGCUGCGCACGCGCUGUCGUCACGUCAGCGCUGAAGUUUGACCACUGAUCUCGAGAGAGCUCGGGAGGACCGGGACCGAGCCAAAGAACCUGCCGAUAAGUUCUGUCCGACAAUGGACAACUACUGGGAGCAGAACAGUCCAUGCCUGGACAGUUCUAACAACAAGCAGUUGGAGAAGACUCCUGGCAGGACCAGGAAGGUGCUGCUGAGUCUGGGCCUGCUGGGAGCCGCCGCCGUUCUGGCUCUGGUGACCGGACUGCUGGUUUGGCAUUUCCACCUGCGCAGGGACGUCCGAGUGAACAGGGUCUACGUCGGCUCCAUUGGAUUCAGAGGUGUGUCCUUCAAGCCAGAGUAUGAGGACCCCAGCAGUUCAGAGUUCCAGAAGAUGGCCAAUCUGGCUGUGAAGGAGCUGAAGCUCCUGUACUCCAGAGACUCGGUGCUGAACCAGUACUUCAGAACCUCCAGGAUCCAUGCCUUCAGUGAUGGAGACAAUGAUGGCAUUGAGGCGUACUACCACUCAGAGUUUGAGGUUCCCGUCUUCCAGCAGACCUCCUUAGAUGAGGCCUUCAGGAUUCUGGAGUCCAGAGGAGAGAAGACCGAGGAGCUAAAGGGGAGGAUGGGGUUCCAUAACUCAAACUCUCUGAGUGUCAGCAACGUCCAGUCUGGAGCUUUGGAUCCACGCAUGAGCAGAACCUCGGUGUCGGAGAAAACCACCACCAGGAUCCGCAUCACGAGGGACAAGGGCCGCAUCCAGUCUCCGGGCUUCCCGCACACUUCCUACCCCUCCAACUUUUCCCACCAGUGGCGGCUGCAGGCCGACCCGCAGCACAGAGUCAAGCUAGACUUCCACACUCUGAGCCUGGAGGACAACUGCCAGCAUGACUUCCUGAAGAUCUACGACUCGUUGGUCCCCAUCGAGCGCCGUGCCCUGACAGAACAGUGUGGAUACCCUCAAGACUCUUUGUCCUUCCUGUCGUCUGGGAGCGUCAUGCUGUUGACAAUGGUCACCAACCAGGAGAAGAACUUCCCCGGGUUCAGAGCCUUCUACUCCCAGGUUCCUGUGGAUGGUAGAGAAUGUGGAGAACCACUGUCGGGAGAGACAGGCUCCUUCUCCUCUCCGUUCUUCCCCUCCAACUACCCACCAAAGGUCUCAUGCCAAUGGGACAUUCAGGUCUCAAAAGAGAAGUUCAUUAAGUUGGAGUUCCAAAAGUUUGCUGUGGGGAAUCAAAAUGAGAACUGCUUCCAUGAUUACCUGGAGGUUGAGGAUGAGCGAUUCUGUGGCAGGAAGUUAAAAAGCGAAUUCAUCAUCAUCAAAAGCAACAAGGCCACCGUGACGUUUCACUCCGACUCCUCGAACGUCGACCAGGGAUUCCUCAUCAGAUAUGAAGCUUUCUAUCCGUCUGACCCCUGUCCCAAACAGUUCCGCUGCUCCAGCAACCUCUGCAUCAACACGACUCUGCAGUGUGACGGCUGGAACGACUGUGGAGACAACAGCGAUGAGGUGUCCUGCACCUGCAGGACGUCUCACAUGAAGUGCAGAAACGGUUUAUGUAAGCCCCAGCUGUGGAAGUGCGACGGGUACAACGACUGUGGAGACGGCACUGAUGAGGAGAACUGCGACGGAUGCAAAGAUGACGGCUUUUUAUGCAGAACGGGCCGCUGCAUCUCACAGACUCUGAAGUGUAACGGACAAGACGACUGCGGCGACGGCUCCGACGAGUCCCAAUGUAAACGAUCUCUGGUGCUGGGCUGCUCAGAGUUUACCUUCCGCUGUGCAGACAACACCUGCAUCAGUAAAAUCAACCCUGAGUGCGAUGACGAGAACGACUGUGAGGACGGCUCAGACGAGGCAGACUGUUCCUGCGGCAGGCGGCCGUUCUACAGUUCCCGUGUCGUAGGCGGUCAGGUGGCCCGGGAGGGGGAGUGGCCCUGGCAGGUCAGCCUUCAUGUCAAGGGGGAGGGGCAUGUGUGCGGUGCAUCAGUGCUGAACAACCGUUGGCUGCUGACUGCCGCUCACUGUGUCCAGGAUGGCCAGUUCAACAGAUAUUCCCAAGCCCAUCUCUGGGAGGCGCUGUUGGGUCUGCACUCGCAGGGUCAGACGCAGGAGUGGACGGUGAGGAGGGGCGUGAGACGGAUCAUCCCCCACAAGGACUUCAGCUCUACAACCUACGACAACGACAUCGCGCUGAUGGAGCUGGACGCCGACGUCACCCUCAACCAGUACAUCUGGCCCAUCUGCCUGCCCUCCCCCGCCCACGACUUCCCAGCAGGCCAGGAGGCCUGGAUCACUGGCUGGGGGGCCACCCACGACGGAGGAUCCAGAACAACGUUCCUGCAGAAGGCGGCGGUCCGGAUCGUGAACGCCACGGUGUGCAGCAGCCUGAUGGAGGACGUGGUCACGGACAGGAUGCUGUGUGCUGGAGUCCUCAAGGGAGGAGUGGACGCCUGUCAGGGCGACUCCGGAGGACCCCUGACCGUCAAAGGCUCCAGUGGGCGGGCCUUCCUGGCUGGAGUGGUGAGCUGGGGCGAAGGCUGUGCCCAGAAGAACAAAGCAGGGAUCUACACCCGAGUCACCAAGUUCCGCUCCUGGAUAAAGCAGAACUGUGGGCUGUAGCCGCUGCAAACUGGACUUACAGAACUCUGUGCAUCCUGCACAACAGAGGAAGCAAGGAAAAAUGGAGAAUCCUGUCAAUGAUCAUCUGCUUAAAUUAAGUUCUAUUAAUUUAAUGUUUUUAGGAUUCAUUGCUUAUCAGAAAUCCUCCUCUAAAAUCAUUUGUUUUUUUAAUAAAGUGGGUUGAGGUUCGGCUCAGAUGAGGGGAUGUUUGGCACUUAAGUCGUUUUCUUUGUUAAAAGAUUUUAUUUUUACACUUGUGUUUGAAGCAUUAAUCACUGUCAUGUAAUGUUUGUCUUUCUAUGUGGUGGAGGUUGGAGACAUUACGGUGAUGACAUCAUCACCUCAGCGUUUAGCUGGAGCAACGGUUGUGAGAUUUUUGAUGAAGAAGAAUGUUUACUUGUUUGUCCCUAAGAACCAAACAGCCUAAAGAAGUAAUCAGCCAGUGGGGUCCCACGGCUCAGCCGGGCUCCAGUCUCAGACCGUCAGGGUCACGUCUGGUCCUGGUGGCAGGUGUGCUGCAGAGACACACAGGUGUGCUGCAGAGACACACAGGUGUGCUGUAGAAACACACAGGUGUGCUGAGCUUUGAGGAGGACAGAGACACAAAUGUCCUGCGGACUCACAUCCAUUUGCUUUGAUUCAUGAGGCUUCGAUUCCACAGCAGUUUUGACCAAAAUAUGUGAAUGUUUACUCAUGUAAAUAUUGACGAUGUUUUAUUUAAUAUUCAUAAGAAGAACACCUUUAUUGUUUUUGAGGCACUUUAACUCAAGUUUAAUGUUGAACAACCUACUGUACAUUAAAAGCUCACAUCAUAAAAAACUUUUUUAAUAAAAGUUUCUUGAUAAACUCAAACAUGGACACAUGA